CCAUGGGUUUGAUCUUUGGUUCUGUGUGUUUUCAAUCCUUUUCUUUAUCGUUUAUUUGGUGGUCUCAAAAGUUUCAGAGCGUUCGGACAAAACUCAAAAGUGAUCAAGAAGGGAGAUUUGUGAGGAGUUUAUGUUUCCAAGAGCUGCGAUUUUCAUGGGAAGAGAGAAGAGGAAGAGGAGGAAGUGGGUGAGUGUGUUUUAAGGUAGAGAGGGGGGAGAGUCCACUCUGCGUAGAGUCGAAAUGUGAUACACAGAAUAUACACUACAGAGACAUUUUGGAAAUGUAUUUAAUACUAUUCAUUAACAUUAAGAUAUUGUAUGCACAAUAUGUGCAACUUUUACCUCUGCAAUUUAUUUUGAGUUAUGUGUAAUUCCAGUUUUAACGGAUUAUGGUUAAAACUUCAAUUCCUGGUUUAUAAUUUUAAAUAAUUUAUCUAUAUUAUUAAAGCAAAAUCUCAGAGUAAAAUAUUGCUCUUAGUUAAUAUUUACCACAUGGUAUGCCUUUGCCUUUUUAGAAUAAUUUUUAAAUCAAUUCGCCAAAUAAAUUUGCAACCAAUCAGAUAUCAUGAUUUUGAUAACCAGUCACAUUAAUAUUUGGAAGCAGAUAGUUAGUAACCAACUGGAAACUAAAUAUAUUAUAAGCAUUAAUGUGGAUUUCAUCCAUAAAAUCCCUAACAAAACCUACAUCCCAAUUCACAAUAUAUACAAAAUCAUUAAAAAAAACCUUUAUGUACAACCACUGAAAUUUUAACUAUUCCAUAAGAAAUGUCGUACAAAAAGAGAUGUCAUACUAUAAUAUAAAUAAAAUAUGAAGGAGAAACUUAAUUACAUUUUGAAAUUGAGAAUCCAAAUCGUGAAUCCAUUAUAACAAUAAAAGUUUUUAUAAUCAAAUACACAUUUCAUUUUUAAAAUAUACUUUUAUAUGAUUAUAACAAAUAACAAAUCACUUUUUUUCAAAGCGUGGAUCAAAAUCUAGUGUAGUUAUUAUAUAUAUUCUAAAAAAUAUUUUUUCAACUUUUAUUUUUAGUAGCUUUUAUUUCAAGUAACAUUACAUAUUUUUAUUAGUCAUUAUAAACUACAUAUUUUUAAUCCUGAUGUUUAGUAUUUAUUUAUACUGAAAUAUUAUGAUGUAUAAUAUACUAGAUCUUGACUCGCACAUCCGUGUGGGUUUUGUUCUUUCUAUACUAAAAAUAUUAUAAUUUAUAUAACAUUAUUAUGUAACAAUACUAUUUUACAUAAGUUUUUGUAUUUUGUAAAGAAAAAAUAUUUUGUAAAUAUUAUUAUGUAACAAUAUUAUUUUACAUAAUUUUAUGUUUCAUUUCUAAAAUUUAGAAUUUAUAUGGAAAUUAAAUUAAACUCGACCUAUAUAAUAAAGAUGAAUUUUUUGGGAUACUAUUAAAACAACAAAACUUUUUUUAAGAAAAGAAACUAUAAUAUUUUGUACUUGCAAAAUAAAUUUGUAGUAUAAUCCUAUUUGAGAAAUUGCUUGACAUACACCAACUUGGAUAGCAUUUAAAAAAAACUCAACUAAAGGAUUGAUUGUUUACAUUUUUUAAUGUUUCAUUCCUAUAGUUUAGGAUUUAUUAUUUAUGUGGUAAAUUCAGUUGAGUUUAUAAAAUUAUGUAACUAAUUCAUAUAUAUUUAUAAAUAUUUUGGGAGGGUUAGUUUUUUCUUUUUAUAAUAAAUGUAAGAUAUUUAUGAAAAAUUAUAAUAAUUUGUAGGUAAGUUUGAAAAUAGUAUCAAAUAUGAAGUAAAAUUAAAAUUUGUUGGAAUUAUGUUAUAUACUGUAAUAUUAAACUAGUUUGAUAAAUGUGUGUUCUAUUCAUAUAGAAUAGUGUUGGAAUAUUAAUUUUUUUGAUAUAUAUAGGUUAUUCAUGCUAUGACGCUAGUAUGCAUAUAUAUGAUAAAAGUGUGUUCAUGUUUAAUGUAUUCGUUCAUGUAUAUAUUCAUUUCAUAUAUCUAUUGUUCGUCCAUUUAUGGUUGCAGUAUGAGAUGUAAUACUUUAUAUAUAGUGAUUAAUAAACUAAUUUGGUAUAGUUUUUAAAUAUUCAAAUGAAAUGGUUUUUUUAACUCAAUGGAAUAUAUAAAUGCUAAUAAUAGUUGACUAAAGCUUUAUAUAUACGAUAUUUAAAGAGCUUAAAAGUUUCAUCUACAAAAGGGGUAUAAAUUAAAUUUUAACCAUUAAUAAGAAUACUAGAUUAUGUUAAAAAUUAUUGACAUAAAUUGUAAUGUUACAUGAUACAAGCAUCUAAAGCUGUGACCUCUAAGAGAUAGUUUAAAUUAAAAAAAAUCACACAUAUAAUAAGUCAUGAUUUAUGUGUUUAAUAAAUAAGAUAUUUUUAUUUUAAAAUUUAAAUAGAAAUGGAUAUUGCUUUCUAACAAAAUCUUUUAAAAAUCUUUGUAAAACAUAUUUUUGAAAAGUUAUAAUUUUGAGUUGUUAUUAUUAUCAUUAAAAUAUUUUAUAUAAUUUUUAAUUUUCUUUUAUAAAUCAAACUAAACUAAAUUUAAAUUUCUGAUUAUAUUUUAUGAUAACUAAAAUUUAAAUUAAUCAAUUUUCGGAAAUAAAUUUUAAAAUUCAACUGAAAAUAUUUUUAAAAGAUUUUGUUAGAGAUUUUUUAAAUAAAUAUUUAUGUUUUGUUUUCAAUAAGAAAUAAAGAUAUUAAAAGAUAUUAUAACUAAAAGAUAUUAUAAUGAAGCUAUGUACAUUUGAUAAAUUUUCAAAAUAAUGAUCCAACUUAAAAUAUCACACAUGAAAUGAAGUUGUGACUUCUAUUUUAAUAGAAUUGAUUUAUUAAAUAAUAUCAAAAUAUUUUGAAUACGAAAUAAUAUCAAAUCAUUUAAAUAAUUUUUUAUAUAUGAAUUUUAUUCAAAACAAAACAAAUGAUAAAAAUAUAUUUAUCUAUGUUAGUAUAAACUUUAUAUAAGCUGUAUGUAUAAAUUUAUGAUUUUAACAUAAACACAUAUUUAUGAUAUUUACUGAACUGAACUGGACUCAAAAUGUAUUAAUUAAUCAUAUUUAUUAAUGUAUUUAGUAUUAUUUUUUGCAAAAAAAAUGAUAUUUUGAAACAUUGUACGCGGAUUAAGAAGAUUGCAAAAUGUACUGAUAUAUCAUUACCUAAUGUAUAAUAAUCUAAAUACAAAUAUUUUAAAUAAAAAUUUAUUGGUUAUUCAAAUUAGUAAAACAUUCUUACCAGUGGCCGGAUGCAAGAUAAUUAAUCAUAGGUGUCAAAAUAUUUUUUUAAUUGAAAACUGCAUAAAUAUGAGUGGACAGCAUUUGAACUAAAAUGUGAUAGCGGUCAAAAAUGUUAUUUGAUUGGGGUCAUUUAUAAAAAAAAUGGUAAAACUUAAAGUAUAUUUUUUAAAUUUCAUGUGGGUCAAUUAUCCCAUCAACUAAUAAGCUGCCUCCGCCACUGGUUAUUACAUAUAUUUUCUCUUUUGAACAAAGAGUUCACUUUAACUUUUUUUUUAUUACAUAAAGGUCAUUUUAGAAUUCUAAUAUAAUGCAUACUUACUUUCAAAUUAAUAUUAAUUGCGAAUUACAUUGAUUUUAUAAAUAAUUUUUUUAUUUCAGUACUACCUGAAGUUUUUGAAUAAGUAUCUAAGUCAUAAGUAACUAGGUAGAUGUCCGUGAAUUCAUGGAUAUAAUUAUUUUUAAAGUUUAAUAUAUCUAAUAUUUGUUAUGUUUGACACGCUAUAAUAUAUUUUUAUUUUUUCAAAAUUUAAUGUGGAUUUUAUUUGUUAUAUAUUUUCUAAAUAAACAGGUUUUGUAUCAUUUGUUUAUUUUGAUUUCUAUUAAUUUUAAAAUAUUAAUAUGACUUUUGUAAUAUUUUAUUAGAUUUUUGUCAACAACUAUUAAAAUAUUUAAUGUACACUCCAAUUUAAUUUGUUUGCAGUCUUAUUAUAUGUUUUGUAGUUUUAUUUCCAAAUGUCAUUCAAUUAACAUUACAUUACAUUUCGAAUAAUAUUUGCUAAAAAUAACAUAUAUACGAUAACACAAAUAAUAUAAUUUUAAAAGAUGAUAUGAACAUGAUAAUAACUGCUGAAAUAACAAAAUAAUUUGAUUGGUUAAUAUGGUUAGAGUGGGAAUUGGAUUUAUAAUGAGUCUUGGAAUUUUCAAGUCUACUGUUAUUGGUUCAUAGAUUCUCACAUUCUCAUUAAAAUCUAGUGUUAUUGGUUUGAUGAUUCAAUAAUUCUAUAAAAAAUCAUUUGUUAUUCAAAAAGUUUAUAUUUUAAUGAUUAUACAGAUCUAUUAAAGUAAGUGUUAUUGGGAGUUGAAUUCUUAACAUUUUAACUCACAAAACAAGAAUUUGAGAAUAUUACAUGUUUCCCUUGAAUUCUUAUAAUCACUACAUUACUUUAUUUUCAUAGAUUUUCACAAUUUACAAAAAAAAUUACAACUCUUUCAAAAUUUAAAAAAUCUCUCAACUUUUAAAAUCAACAAACUCUAAAGAAAUCUAAAUCCCACUAACUCUCCCUUGGAGUAGAGGAAAAUCGAGGAUUGAUGAAACAUUUUCCUUAAAUACAUAUUUGUUAUUGGUAAGUAUUAUUUGUUAGAUUAUUUAUGUAAGUUGGUUCUUGAUUUAGCUUUUUUGGAACUGAAUUAAAUAAAUAUAUAAAAUAAAAGAUCAUUAGUCAAUCAAAUUAAAACAAAUAAUUGGAGAGCUCUUAUAAGAAUGACACAUAAACAAAAAUCACUUUAUUUCUCAAUUAAUAUAUAGUAUGAUUUUUUAAUAAACUUGAAAAAAUUAGAAUCUUAUUUGAAAGAAAAAUUGUGAAAAUUCUCAUAACCUUUUUUAAAAUAAUGUACAUUUAUUAUGGGCUAAUUUUCCAAAAUGCUAAAAUUUAAUUAUGUCUUAAAUAUAAAAAAAUAUUAUUAUUUAUAUUGCUAAUAGUUUCAAACAGUCUUUUAAGCAUUGGAUAUGCUCUAAUAAAUUAUCUUUAAUAUGGUGAUAUGUAAUGUAAAGAUGAUUGAUCAGCAGGCAAAAAAGGUAUGUGUCAAUAUCUCCAGCUCUAUACAUGACACAACCACUACAAACAUCAUUAGCAUAAACUUGUGGAAAGACUUGCUGAACAACUAGUAAACAUGACAAGAAAACAGGUAAAAGCAAUCGAGUGUUUCAUAUCACAUUAGACUGAAAUCUACAUUCGACAUAGAUAUUCACUAGCAUAACUUUGUAUCCUAUUUCAGAUGAGAUAAAAUCUAUUAAUAAGACUUUUUCAUCACUAAAAAAAAGGAUCCGAAUUACAUUAGUUAAGCACAAAAUAUUCUACUAGUACUUAAGGAGUUAUCUUUCAAUUUUUUGUUAGUUCCAACUCAUUUUUUUAACAAUUUUUUUAAAUACAAUUCCACCAAAAUUAUUCUUUCAUUUUUUUAUAAUUAAAAAUAGACUUUGAUCCUCACGCCUGUGCGCGUAACUUUUCAUUUUGUAAAUGUCUAACUUUGAUAUUAUCGCAAAUGUUUUAAAUAUACGAUUUACAUUUUAAUGUUAUUUAUUGUAUAACUCUAUGCUUCUUGGUUAGGUUUUUUGUUCGACAUUAUAAAUAUAAAUUAUUUGUUUUAUACAUUUUUACAUUGUUGUCAAUUGUUAUUGCAUAAUUUUUGAGUUCGGUAAAAUAAAUUAAUAAUAUAAAAUAACUAAAUAGAGAAUUUUCUUUUUAAAAUUUCUAGAGUUUACAUACACUACAUUUCAAAAUUUUAUUUAGUUUUACUAUAGAAAAGAUAUUUGUAUAGGAUCAUUUAUAUUUUCAUGUUGUGUUUAAAAAUAUACUUUGCAUCUAUCAUUUUAGUAUACUGUGGAAUUUUAUAAGUAAUCACAUUGUUCAAUUUAAGUAAGCCCUAUUAUUUUAGUAUAUUUUAUACAUAGAGCAUAUAUCAUAUUUUUUAGUAAAUUUUAUUGUUAUUAAGUUAAAUUUCAAAAUAGUAUCCCACUUUAAUUUUUCUUAAUAAAUUUUUAUAUAAAAUUAAUUUAUAAUAAUAUUAUAUUACUAAUUAUGAAAUUAAUCAAUGCAUUAAUUUAAAAAAAAAUUGGUAAGAUUUUGUUAGAAUUUUCUCUACACAUUUUGUUAUAACUAAAAUUUAAAUUUACAGUUAAAACUAAUUUAGUAUUAAUAUUAUUAUAAUUAUUAAUAUUUUUUAAUAAAUGUUAUAUAUUUAAUAAAAUAGAUGUAACUAAUGAAAUGGACCUAAUAUGACUUUUUAUGGUAGAUUAAAAUUGUGCUUCUCUUUUAAUAGAAAAGAUAUGAGAAUCUCAAAUCAUUAUGUGUCUUACCAGUUACAUAUAAUUUAUAACUAUAACUGAAUUAUUAAACCAAACAAUAAUUAUUAUUUAAUAAUUAAUUUAAAAUUUAUAAAUAAAAUUUAAGUAAAUAUAUACAUAAAAAUAUAAAUUCUUGCUUUACAACAUACUCUUUAUUAGACUUUUGUUAUUUUGGAGAUCCAUCUUCUCAUUUGUAUAUACACAACAUUCAGUUUCUUAUAUUUUCUAAUUUUUUUGUUUUCUAAUUUUCUUUGUAAAACCUUUGAGAUUUAUCAAAAUUACUUUAUUAAUAUAUUUUUUGGAUUUUCAUAUGUUUUUACUUAUUUUUAAAGCUUCCAUUUAAAAAAAAAAAAUCCCCAAAAUAUUGAUAAAACUAACUAAACUUUAUAGUUUCGACUUAGCAUAAGUUAUGGUUUUGUACAAGAGGAAAAGGGACUUAAGCAUAAGUUAUAAAAUAUAUGUUCUAGAUCUUAAAAUACGGAUUCAUAGGUUGAAGAGAAGUGUAAAACGGAGACCACUACAUCAUAAUGAAUCAGACUGUUAUUAAACUAUCUAUGUUGCUUUUUUUUUAUAAAACUAUCUAUAUGUUGCUUUGUCCCCCUUUCACUACAUAAUGGACGGCUUUAGUGCUUUACAAUUUGGCUAAGAACCCCCCCUUAUUUCAAGUGCAAUCCGUGAGGAAAAAUGUUUAUGUAAGAUGGCAAUCAUGGACUUGGACCGCAGAUCUGGCCCGUAAAGAACUGCUGAGUGAUGGUAUUAGGCCGGGGUUUUCUAAGUCCGUAAAUUAGCGGACCUCGCGGGACGGGUUGGUGCGGUAUUGAGUUUUUUCGAGAUGGGCCGAAGCGGACCAUGCGGAAUUACAAGGAUCCGCGCUUUUUUUCAUUUCUUAUUUUACUUAAAAAAAUGAAAGAGAAAGAGUGAGAAGAAAGUGAUUCGGGUGACUUCCUCCGAGAAAAAUGAAAGGAGUUCUAGAGAUGAUGAUUAGAGUUCUGGCGAUUACGAUUAGAACUUUGACGAUGAUGAUUUGAGCUCAGGUGAUGACGAUUCAAGCUCCGACGAUGACGAUUCAAGCUCCGACAGUGUUUUGAUUUAGUGUUCUCUUUUUAUUUACUUUGGGAUUGACUAAGAGCUUUGAUUUGGUGUUUUUAUUUAUUUUUUGGAUUCAUCAAACUAAAGCAUUGGUUAUGAAUUUAUGAGUUAUAAGUAUUGAUUAUGAACUCAAAUAAAUAAUGAGACUAAGCUAUAUGGUUAGAGCCUUGUCGACUAAGCUAUUUAAUUCUAUAACAAUGAUGUCGUUCAGCUAAAAGAGUUAGUCUUGUUACUUUCUUCGAUGUGUCUUCUAUUCUUCAUAUUCUUUCGUUACUGGUCAUUGUUCUUUCGUUACAUCAAUAAACUAGAAUACACAUCAAACUGUACUGAUCAUGUUUGUAAUAUGUUUACUCGUGCGGACAAAAAUAUAAUAUCACAUGUCCUGCAGGCCGACCCGCGAAGGUCUACUAAUACUGUGGUACAAGAUUUCGUUACUCAUUUCGGAGACCGCAGCCCGCAGUAGCACUGAUCCGUCGUGAUCCGUUUGAAGAUAAAUUCACUGCGGUACGAGACGGGACAUGACGGAUAAACCCGUUUGCCAUCUCUAACCAUUUCAUGACUAAAUAGUUAUAAAGCCAGCCAAAGAUUACGUGUCUCACUGCUUUGGACAUGAUUGAUCCAAUAAGAUUCAAUCCAAUCACAGCCCAAAAACAAUAUCGGGCCUUUUAAGAAGCCUAAUUAGUAAGUAGCUCAAAGCCCAUAAUUAAAACCCUAGAGUCUUCCUCGCUAUAAAACAUCUCAUCUUAUCGAGAGGAGUCUCUCGUGGAGUUCCGGCGAGAACGGAGAAACCCUAAUCUCAUCUUGCGUUAUGCAAUUGGCUCGUUUUCUUUUUCAAAACCUUUAGUUUUGCAUUCGAAUUUUCGUAGAAUAAAGGUAAUAUUGCAUUUUUUUUCGAAUUCAGUUUUCUAUGUCUAGUUGAUCAGGUUCAUGUGAAAGGUUUUUUAUUUUCGAGUUAUGGUUGCGAUGAUGAGAUUUUUAUGAAUAAAUUGAAAGUGGAAACGCUUAAUGAACGGUCGACAAAAAUGUCGAACCUGAGCGGUUAGCUGAGCAACUCAUCUUUUUUUUUUUGUCUAAGUCUCUAUCGAAUUUGAUCCUUUUUUUUUUCUUUUGAUUGUUUUUGCCCCCUGUGUUAAUUUCAUGUAAAGAUUUGUUGCUAUGAUGAGAAAAUAUAUGAUUGAAAGCAUUUUUUGUGCUUAAUGAGUCAGUCGACAAUAAUGUCGAUCUGAGCGGUUAACUGAGCAACUAAAUUUCCUCCAUGUUUUAUAUCUUUGUUAUACGAUUUUUACUUCAUAAGUUUUCCAACUUGGUGUUUGCACGUUAUGAUCCACACUAGUGCAAGCACACAGCUCUUUUAAUUGCCCAUUAACUACUCAUCUCACUGCAUCAACCUGAGCUUCUCUUUAUCCAACCUGAACUAGCCAUGGACGAACAUGAUCUUGGAUGUUAAUUUAGAUAACAUUUAAUGUGGCAAAAAAAUUUAAUCUUGGGUAGAAACCGAAAAUACUAUAAGCAGUAACUGUUAAAACAAAACAAUGAUUUAAAAUCUGUCUUGUCCCCAAAACUGGCCCUUGUUUUGAACUCCCAUAUGUUUUUCGUUUGAACAACGUAUAAAACAUUCAAUCGACUUUUA